UGUAGGAGUGAGCCUGCUCGCGAUGGCGGACUUUCAGUCGUUGUAGGUGUUGUCUGACACACCGCUAUCGCGAGCAGGCUCACUCCUACA
rnacentral:misc_RNA from 1 species